UACGGAGGGGGCUAGCGUUGUUCGGAAUUACUGGGCGUAAAGCGCACGUAGGCGGCUUGGUAAGUUAGAGGUGAAAGCCUGGAGCUCAACUCCAGAAUUGCCUUUAAGACUGCCGAGCUAGCAGGUGAGAGAGGUGAGUGGAAUUCCGAGUGUAGAGGUGAAAUUCGUAGAUAUUCGGAAGAACACCAGUGGCGAAGGCGGCUCACUGGCUCAUACUGGACGCUGAGGUGCGAAAGCCAGGGGAGCAAACGGG
rnacentral:rRNA from 1 species